rnacentral:tRNA from 1 species
GGGCCGAUAGUGUAAUGGAUAACACGUUAUGAUUCAUCUGUAGACAUAGUGAAAGGCGGGGGGUUCGAUUCCCCCUUGGGUCG